rnacentral:misc_RNA from 1 species
GAUGAAGAACGUAGCGAAAUGCGAUACGUAAUGUGAAUUGCAGAAUUCAGUGAAUCAUCGAAUCUUUGAACGCAUAUUGCGCUCUUUGGUAUUCCGAAGAGCAUGCUUGUUUGAGUAUCAGUAAACACCUCAACCUCUUCUUGAUUUUUCAAAAGGAGGGUGGACUUGAGCUAUCCCAACAACCUUUACCGGUCGGCGGGCGGCUUGAAAUGCAGGUGCAGCUGGACUUUUAUCUGAGCUAAAAGCAUAUCUAUUUAGUCCUCGUCAAACAGGAUUAUUACUUUUGCUGCAGCUAACAUAAAGGAUAAUUGACCUCUUUGCUGACUGAUGCAGGAUUUUACGACACUUUAUGUGUUGUUCAACUCGAUCUCAAAUCAAGUAAGACUACCCGCUGAACUUAAGCAUAUCAAUAAGCGGAGGA